rnacentral:rRNA from 1 species
AACGAACGCUGGCGGCAUGCCUAACACAUGCAAGUCGAACGCCCCGCAAGGGGAGUGGCGAACGGGUGAGUAACGCGUGGGAACCUACCCAGCAGUUGGGGAUAACCGCGGGAAACUGCGGCUAAUACCGAAUACGUCCUAAGGGAGAAAGAUUUAUCGCUGUUGGAGGGGCCCGCGUCGGAUUAGCUAGUUGGUGAGGUAACGGCUCACCAAGGCGACGAUCCGUAGCUGGUCUGAGAGGAUGAUCAGCCACACUGGGACUUAGACACGGCCCAGACUCCUACGGGAGGCAGCAGUGGGGAAUAUUGGACAAUGGGGGCAACCCUGAUCCAGCAAUGCCGCGUGAGUGAUGAAGGCCUUAGGGUUGUAAAGCUCUUUUACCGGGGACGAUGAUGACGGUACCCGGAGAAUAAGCCCCGGCUAACUUCGUGCCAGCCGCCGCGGUAACAC